CAGGCUUAACACAUGCAAGUCGAGGGGCAGCAUGGUCUUAGCUUGCUAAGGCCGAUGGCGACCGGCGCACGGGUGAGUAACGCGUAUCCAACCUGCCUUACACUCUUGGACAGCCUUCUGAAAGGGAGAUUAAUACAAGAUGUUAUCAUGAGUAAGCAUUUUCGCAUGAUUAAAGGUUUACCGGUGUAAGAUGGGGAUGCGUUCCAUUAGAUAGUAGGCGGGGUAACGGCCCACCUAGUCUUCGAUGGAUAGGGGUUCUGAGAGGAAGGUCCCCCACAUUGGAACUGAGACACGGUCCAAACUCCUACGGGAGGCAGCAGUGAGGAAUAUUGGUCAAUGGACGAGAGUCUGAACCAGCCAAGUAGCGUGAAGGAUGAAGGUUCUAUGGAUUGUAAACUUCUUUUAUACGGGAAUAAACGGAUCCACGUGUGGAUUUUUGCAUGUACCGUAUGAAUAAGGAUCGGUUAACUCCGUGCCAGCAGCCGCGGUAAUACGGAGGAUCCGAGCGUUAUCCGGAUUUAUUGGGUUUAAAGGGAGCGUAGAUGGGUUGUUAAGUCAGUUGUGAAAGUUUGCGGCUCAACCGUAAAAUUGCAAUUGAUACUGGCAGUCUUGAGUACAGUUGAGGUAGGCGGAAUUCGUGGUGUAGCGGUGAAAUGCUUAGAUAUCACGAAGAACUCCGAUUGCGAAGGCAGCUUACUAACCUGUAACUGACAUUGAUGCUCGAAAGUGUGGGUAUCAAACAGGAUUAGAUACCCUGGUAGUCCACACGGUAAACGAUGAAUACUCGCUGUAGGCGAUAUACAGUCUGCGGCCAAGCGAAAGCAUUAAGUAUUCCACCUGGGGAGUACGCCGGCAACGGUGAAACUCAAAGGAAUUGACGGGGGCCCGCACAAGCGGAGGAACAUGUGGUUUAAUUCGAUGAUACGCGAGGAACCUUACCCGGGCUUAAAUUGCAACCGAAUAUGGCGGAAACGCUAUAGCUAGCAAUAGCGGUUGUGAAGGUGCUGCAUGGUUGUCGUCAGCUCGUGCCGUGAGGUGUCGGCUUAAGUGCCAUAACGAGCGCAACCCUUGCCGAUAGUUACUAACAGGUCAUGCUGAGGACUCUGUCGGGACUGCCAUCGUAAGAUGUGAGGAAGGUGGGGAUGACGUCAAAUCAGCACGGCCCUUACGUCCGGGACUACACACGUGUUACAAUGGGGGGUACAGAGGGCUGCUACCACGCAAGUGGAUGCCAAUCCCAAAAACCUCUCUCAGUUCGGAUUGAAGUCUGCAACCCGACUUCAUGAAGCUGGAUUCGCUAGUAAUCGCGCAUCAGCCACGGCGCGGUGAAUACGUUCCCGGGCCUUGUACACACCGCCCGUCAAGCCAUGGGAGCCGGGGGUACCUGAAGUGCGUAACCGCAAGGAGCGCCCUAGGGUAAAACUGGUGACUGGGGCUA
rnacentral:rRNA from 1 species